AGUGAACGCUGGCGGUAGGCCUAACACAUGCAAGUCGAACGGCAGCACAGGAGAGCUUGCUCUCUGGGUGGCGAGUGGCGGACGGGUGAGGAAUACAUCGGAAUCUACUCUGUCGUGGGGGAUAACGUAGGGAAACUUACGCUAAUACCGCAUACGACCUACGGGUGAAAGCAGGGGACCUUCGGGCCUUGCGCGAUUGAAUGAGCCGAUGUCGGAUUAGCCAGUUGGCGGGGUAAAGGCCCACCAAGGCGACGAUCCGUAGCUGGUCUGAGAGGAUGAUCAGCCACCCUGGAAAUGAGACACGGUCCAGACUCCUGAGGGAGGCAGCAGUGGGGAAUAUUGGACAAUGGGCGCAAGCCUGAUUCAGCCACACCGCGUGGGUGAAGAAGGCCUUCGGGUUGUAAAGCCCUUUUGUUGGGAAAGAAAUCCAGCUGGCUAAUACCCGGUUGGGAUGACGGUACCCAAAGAAUAAGCACCGGCUAACUUCGUGCCAGCCGCCGCCGUAA
rnacentral:rRNA from 1 species